AUGGCGCUAUGGCUCACGCUGCUCCUCGGCGUUGCCCUCCCCGCCGCGGCGCUGGUCGCGGCCGCGUGCUACGCUUACCGCCGCCGGCACAUGCCGCGUAACGCGCCGCCGGAGCUGCCGGUCGGUGCUCGUGAGGUCGGCGGCGCAGACCCCUCGGCGAGCCCCGGGCUGGCGAAGCUCAACGCCAAGUACACCGCCAGCAGCGGCCGCGUGGGCGUCCGGUUCCAGCAGUUGCACCACCACCACCAUGUCCGCGCCGAUACCAGGCACCGGGGACCGGGCGGUGGCGCGCUGCAGCAGGGCCCGUUCCAGUGGGGCGAUCACCCGCGGCUGGUGAUCGAGGCGGCGGAGCACGGGUGGGCGCAGUUCGUGUUCGCCGUGGCGCCGCCGAAGGCGAGGUCGGCGUCGUCGUCGCCGCUGUGGGGGCUCUGCCCGGUCUGCGACGCCGGGACCAGCCGCGACAUGGCUGAGGCCGCAUGGGAGGUCCCUGUGGGGUCGUCCGAGCGCCUGCAGGCCGUGCGCCUCAAUCCCGUGGUCGCAGCCACCGGCGCCGCCGCGUCCAGCAAGAAGUGGCUCCCGGGAAGCUUCUCGAGCCCCCUCCGCAACGACCAGGAUCUGACAAGUAACAACGGGCUUUGCAUCGCCAGGAUGGGUAUGCCGCUACCGGGGCCGCCGAUGAACGGCACGCCGUUCCCGCAGGACGCCUACUUCGAGAUCACCAUCAUAUAUCUGAACACACGGCGUCCGGAGUGGUCAGCGUCCCGGACGAGCAGGCGUGGGCACGACGGCUCCGGCGACAGCGAACGCAGCAAGCUCAUCAACUUUGCACCGGACACCACCGACCCGAUCCAGGAAACCAGGGCCGCGAAAGAUGACCAGGGAGACAAGCAGAGGCACCUGGUCAUGUCGCUGGGCCUCGCCGCCGGGCCUGCCGCACCGGCACGGCCGUCGUUAGCUGGAACGUACGCGUCGUCCAUCGGCUUCCACUCCAACGGCGCGGUCUACCUCGACGGGAUGAAGCUGGCGUACGAAUCGGAGAAGUCAGCGUGGGCGGGGGUGGACAAGGUCGUGGGAUGCGGCUUCGAGCCGACGAAGCGGAAGGUGUACUUCACGGUGGACGGGCAGCUGGUCCACGCGGUGAGCUGCAACGCCGACGCCUUCUCCAGCCCGCUGUACCCGGUGCUGGCCUCCAGCUUCGACGUGAUGGCGCUGGUGAACCUCGGGCAGAGCAAGUUCCGGUACGCGCCGGCCAACGCGCGGCGCACGGCCAACCCGUGCUUCGUGCGGUCCGCGUCGCUGGGCGAGGGCCGGAGCGGGUCCAUGGGUCUCGACUUCGACGACAGCGGGGACCUCUUCUCCAUGGGCCGCGUCGACUCCGGCUGGACGGAGGCCUCGCGGGUUAGCAAGAGCAGGAAGGAGAGCGGCGGCGGCACGACGGCGGCCGGCGACCUCGAACCCGAGUCUGACCUCUUCGAGAUCUCAUUGUGA
rnacentral:rRNA from 1 species